AUGCCGAUGUCGCUCCGGAAAGCCCUUGCGUCCCUGGUCCUGCUGGUCACUUGGGCCAUUUGGAAGCAUCGCAACACUUGCAUCUUUGAGCUAAGGUAACCCUCCACUAGCUACUUGUUUGCUUCGAUCCAAGAUGACAUGCGCACCUGGGCCACUGCCGGUGCCAAAGGAAUCCAAGCUGUAAUCGACGCGCUGUAG
rnacentral:rRNA from 1 species